rnacentral:rRNA from 1 species
UACAGAGGGUGCAAGCGUUAAUCGGAAUUACUGGGCGUAAAGGGCGCGUAGGCGGAUAGACAAGUUAGAUGUAAAAUCCCUGGGCUUAACCUAGGAAGGCCAUUUAAGACUGUUUAUCUAGAGUGCAUGAGAGGGUAGUGGAAUUUCCGGUGUAGCGGUGAAAUGCGUAGAUAUCGGAAGGAACACCAGUGGCGAAGGCGCUACCUGGCAUGACACUGACGCUGAGGCGCGAAAGCGUGGGUAGCAAACAGG